ensembl:rRNA 5S_rRNA 5S ribosomal RNA
ACCGGCAGCUAGCUCUCUUCAACUCUCACAUGGUAGCCCACUUGAGUUAAGCAGGGCUGUGCCUAUUCAGUACCUGGAUGGGAGACCACAUAGGAAAGCUAGGUUGCUGCCGGAA